rnacentral:rRNA from 1 species
CCUACGGGCGGCAGCAGUGGGGAAUAUUGCGCAAUGGGCGAAAGCCUGACGCAGCGACGCCGCGUGAGGGAUGAAGGUCUUCGGAUCGUAAACCUCUGUCAGCAGGGAAGAACGGUCACUGUGCUAAUCAGCAGUGAAUUGACGGUACCUGCAAAGGAAGCACCGGCUAACUCCGUGCCAGCAGCCGCGGUAAUACGGAGGGGGCGAGCGUUAAUCGGAAUUACUGGGCGUAAAGCGCUCGUAGGCGGUAUGUCAAGUCAAGGGUGAAAUCCCCGCGCUCAACGUGGGAACUGCCUUUGAAACUGGCAAACUGGAGUGUGUGAGAGGAUAGUGGAAUGCCAGGUGUAGGAGUGAAAUGCGUAGAUAUCUGGAGGAACAUCAGUGGCGAAGGCGACUAUCUGGCACAUAACUGACGCUGAGGAGCGAAAGCGUGGGUAGCAAACAGGAUUAGAUACCCUAGUAGUC